rnacentral:rRNA from 1 species
GAUGAACGCUGGCGGCGUGCUUAACACAUGCAAGUCGAACGGGAUCCAAGGGGUGCUUGCACUUUUUGGUGAGAGUGGCGAACGGGUGAGUAACACGUGAGUAACCUGUCCUUUUCUUUGGGAUAAGCAUUCGAAAGGGUGUUUAAUACCUUAUGUUCUGUCUGCCUCGCAUGGGGUGGGUGGGAAAGGCUUUGGCCGGAUUUGGGUGGCCUCGCGGUCUAUCAGCUUGUUGGUGGGGUGAUGGCUUACCAAGGCUUUGACGGGUAGCCGGCCUGAGAGGGUGGUCGGUCACAUUGGGACUGAGAUACGGCCCAGACUCCUGCGGGAGGCAGCAGUGGGGGAUAUUGCACAAUGGGCGAAAGCCUGAUGCAGCGACGCCGCGUGGGGGAUGAAGGCCUUCGGGUUGUAAACUUCUUUUGCUCUGAACAAGGCGCACUUUUGGGUGUGUUGAGUGUAGGGGUUGAUUAGCGCCGGCUAACUACGUG